rnacentral:rRNA from 1 species
GGCAUUAAGCCCUGACGGCGUACCUUUUGUAUAAUGGGUCAGCGAGUUAGUUUAUGUAGCAAGCAUAAGCCGAUAGGUGGAUGCGUAGCGAAAGCGAGUGUUAAUAGCGCGUUAAGUUACAUGAAUUAGACCCGAAACCGAGUGAUCUAGCCAUGAUCAGGUUGAAGGUUGGGUAACACCAACUGGAGGACCGAACCCACUCCCGUUGAAAAGGUAGGGGAUGAAUUGUGGCUAGGGGUGAAAGGCCAAUCAAACUCGGAAAUAGCUGGUUCUCCGCGAAAACUAUUUAGGUAGUGCGGUGAGCGGACACCUUGAGGGGUAGAGCACUGGAAGAGCUAAGGGGGAGCGAUCCUUACUAAACUUUACCAAACUCCGAAUACUCAAGAGUGAUACUCACCAGACAGACAUUAGGUGCUAAGGUCUAGUGUCGAGAGGGAAAGAGCCCAGACCGCCAAUUAAGGUCCCAAAAUUAUGGCUAAGUGGUAAAGGAAGUGAAACGUCCAAAACAGUCAGGAGGUUGGCUUAGAAGCAGCCAUCCUUUAAAGAAAGCGUAAUAGCUCACUGAUCUAAACAAGACGUCUUGCGCCGAAGAUGUAACGGGGCUAAAGCCAUAUACCGAAGUUGCGGAUUUACACGUUAAAGUGUAAGUGGUAGCGGAGCGUUCUGUAAGCCUGCGAAGGUGUACCGUAAGGUAUGCUGGAGGUAUCAGAAGUGAGAAUGCUGACAUGAGUAGCGAAAAGAAGAGUGAGAGACUCUUCCGCUGAAAGUCCAAGGUUUCCUGCGUAAAGCUAAUCUGCGCAGGGUUAGUCGGUCCCUAAGGCGAGGCAGAGAUGCGUAGUCGAUGGCAAUCAGGUUAAUAUUCCUGAACCGGCCCGGAAGUGACGGAUUGAGUAAAUUGUAAGUUCUUAUUGGAUUGAGCUUGCAGUGAAUCAGUCCCAGGAAAUAGCCCGGGCUAAGACCGUACCCGAAACCGACACAGGUGGACAGGUAGAGAAUACCAAAGCGCUUGAGAGAACUAUGUUGAAGGAACUAGGCAAAAUACUUGCGUAACUUCGGGAUAAGCAAGCCCCAUUUUAAGGCAACUUAGGGUGGGGGGCACAUACUAGGGGGUAGCGACUGUUUACUAAAAACACAGGGCUCUGCUAAAUUGAAAGAUGAAGUAUAGGGUCUGACGCCUGCCCGGUGCUGGAAGGUUAAGGAGAGAUGUGCAAGCAUUGAACUGAAGCCCCAGUAAACGGCGGCCGUAACUAUAACGGUCCUAAGGUAGCGAAAUUCCUUGUCGGGU